AGCGGCGGAUGGGUGAGUAACGCGUGGGGAACCUGCCCCUAAGUCUGGGAUACCAUUUGGAAACAGGUGCUAAUACCGGAUAAUAAAGCAGAUCGCAUGAUCAGCUUUUGAAAGGCGGCGUAAGCUGUCGCUAAGGGAUGGCCCCGCGGUGCAUUAGCUAGUUGGUAAGGUAACGGCUUACCAAGGCGACGAUGCAUAGCCGAGUUGAGAGACUGAUCGGCCACAUUGGGACUGAGACAUGGCCCAAACUCCUACGGGAGGCAGCAGUAGGGAAUCUUCCACAAUGGACGCAAGUCUGAUGGAGCAACGCCGCGUGAGUGAAGAAGGUCUUCGGAUCGUAAAGCUCUGUUGUUGGCGAAGAAGGAUAGAGGUAGUAACUGGCCUUUAUUUGACGGUAAUCAACCAGAAAGUCACGGCUAACUACGUGCCAGCAGCCGCGGUAAUACGUAGGUGGCAAGCGUUGUCCGGAUUUAUUGGGCGUAAAGCGAGCGCAGGCGGAAAAAUAAGUCUAAUGUGAAAGCCCUCGGCUUAACCGAGGAACUGCAUCGGAAACUGUUUUUCUUGAGUGCAGAAGAGGAGAGUGGAACUCCAUGUGUAGCGGUGGAAUGCGUAGAUAUAUGGAAGAACACCAGUGGCGAAAGCGGCUCUCUGGUCUGCAACUGACGCUGAGGCUCGAAAGUAUGGGUAGCGAACAGGAUUAGAUACUCUGGUAGUCCAUG
rnacentral:rRNA from 1 species